rnacentral:rRNA from 1 species
AACGUAGGAGACAAACGUUAUCCGGAGUUACUGGGCGUAAAGGGCGUGUAGGUGGUUUCUUAAGUCUGGCGUGAAAUUUUUCGGCUUAACCGGGAAAGGUCGUCGGAUACUGCGGAGCUAGAGGACGGUAGAGGCGUGUGGAAUUCCCGGUGUAGCAGUGAAAUGCGUAGAGAUCGGGAGGAACAUCAGUUGCGAAGGCGGCUCUCUGGACCAGCACUGACACUGAGGCACGAAAGCGUGGGGAGCAAACAGG